rnacentral:lncRNA from 1 species
GAGUUUGGGGAGGGGCUAAAGGUGGGUGGGGUCACAGGUUGUGGGUGGGGGUAAUUUGUGGGUGGGGUUGUGGGUGUGGCUGAGUGUGGGUGUGGCCCUGGCUUGUGGGUGGGGCCAAUAAUUAGGGGCGGUGCUAAUGGUGGGUGGGGCUGAGAGUUUCAGGUGGGGCUAAAAGUGGGUGGGGUUGUUUGUGGGUGGGGCUAAAGCUUGUGGGAGUGGCCAAUGCACAGUGUGGGCGUGGCCAGACCUGACCACACCCACCCCCCGCCCCUUUCUCCCUCCUUCAGCUGCGCCUUCGUCACCUACGAGAAGAUGGAAUCGGCCGACCAGGCCAUCGCCGAGGUUUGGGGGCUCUGGGGGAGGUCUGGGGGGUCUCUGGGGGGUCUCUGGGGGUCCCCGUGCCCGCCCUGACCCCCCCGUGCCCCCCCAGCUGAACGGGGCCGUGGUGCAGGACGUGCAGCUCAAGGUCAGCAUCGCCCGCAAGCAGCCCCUGCUCGACGCCGCCACCGGGAAGUCGCUCUGGGGGUCCCUGGCCGUGAAGAACAGCGCCAAGGGCUCCCACCGCGACAAGCGCUCGCAGGUCGUGUACAACGAGGACCUUUUCGGGGGGCAGUGAGGGACCCCCGGGGGCCUUUGGGGGGGGCAAUAAAGGGCGAGAGGGACGUGGCCACGUUUAUUGUCACCUGGGGGGAGGGACGGGGACCCCCCAGACACAGAGGGACCCCUGAAACCAUCCCCACAGCCCCCUUGGAUCCCCCCCCACGUCCCACCCCUGUGGGGUCGCGUGGCCACGGCGUGUCCUGGCAUGUCCUGGCAUGUCCCAGCGUGUCCCAGUGUGUCCUGGCGUGUCCUGGCACGUCCCGGCGUGUCCUGGCGUGUCCCCGGGGCUCAGGGCAGGAACCCCAGGUCCUCGUCCUGCAGCUUCUCCCUCAGCCAGGGCAGCACCUCGAACAGGCUCACGUGGAAGUCGCGGGCGUAGGACGGGGCCCGGCACUGGUGGCACACGGAGGCCACGCCCCAGCUGACCACGCCCAC